UGAGGAACAUGACCUUCGGCGGGGGAUAGCCGGCCCAACGGCCGGGUAAUACCGCGUACGACCACAUGGGGACAUCCCUGAGUGGUGAAAGCAGCAAUGCGCCGAUGGAGUGCCUCGCGGCCUAUCAGCUAGUUGGUGAGGUAACGGCUCACCAAGGCAACGACGGGUAGCUGGUCUGGAGGGGAUGGCCAGCCACAUUGGGACUGAGACACGGCCAGCUCCGUAGGGA
rnacentral:rRNA from 1 species